UACGGAGGGUGCGAGCGUUGUCCGGAAUCAUUGGGCGUAAAGGGCGCGUAGGUGGCUUCUCAAGCGUGCGGUGAAAGCCUGGGCUCAACCCGGGUCGGCCGUGCGAACUGGGGGCUUGAGCACUGUAGAGGCAGGCGGAAUUCCGGGUGUGAGCGGUGGAAUGCGUAGAGAUCCGGAAGAACACCGGUGGCGAAGGCGGCCUGCUGGGCAGUUAGCUGACACUGAGGCGCGACAGCGUGGGAGCAACAGG
rnacentral:rRNA from 1 species